ensembl:lncRNA MAP9-AS1 MAP9 antisense RNA 1
AUUCCUAGGACGAUCCUGGAGAGCAAAGAGACAGGAUCUCACUUUUUUUGCCCACUACUGGGCUCAAGCGAUCCUCCUGCCUCCAUCUCCCCAAGUGCUGGGAUUACAGCCAUGAGCCACCAUGCCCGGCCCCAGCUCGCAACUUUCUGUGUGACCUCAGAUAGGAGGUUCUUCAACUGACAGCUACACAUCCACCCCUGCUACUUUCUUCAUUGCCUCCACAGUUUCUAUAAGGAAAAGGCAAAAUCUUCAUACCUGCAGAAUUAGCGCCACAUAGAUGCUGCCAAAGGGUUUUCUGCCUGUGCCCUCUGGAGAGGUGACAUCACAUCCCCCACUGCACCAGGGCCCAUUGAGCAACACUUGGAGCAACCAAGGGGUGCCACACCAGAAUGUGGGGACCAGUGACUUCAGGGAUUGCUGGGAAGCAAGCCCCAAGGUCCCCAGGGCACCCUAGGGCCUUCCUUGGAAACUGUACUGCCCUCAAUGCUCUGGCAACAUGGUCCUGUGAUGAGAGUGCAGCCCAAGCAAUUUACAAAACACCUUCCGGGUUGCUCUUUCAUUGUCCUGGUGAAGAGUACAGUCCUGAUCCAUGUCUCCUGAUUCACAACCUUUGUGUUCUCUCCCACACUUUAUUUGUUAAAAUAUGGACAGGCUGAGAAGAAUAAAAAUUUCCCAAAUCUUUA